GCAAAAAGUCGAUUGACUGAGAGUCGAGUCUUUGAAUAUAAUUGACGAAAAAGAACUUUCCAUUUCUCUCUUACAGUAAAACAAUUAGUUCUGUGAUGCCCGACAAAAGUACGUCUUACGAAUUUUCUUUCUAACAUCAUCAACAACAGUUGAAACUCGUACCACUGGCAAAUAGAGUCCGUCGUUAGGUAAACGAAUGGAUUUCGAUUUAUUCGGUCGAUAAAGUGUCACGACUAAUAUGGGGUCACAGGGCGUGAGUGUAAAGCCUUUUGAAAGAUGUCCAUUGCCAACAACGAUGUCAAUUUAUAACAGGGAAAAAGGUUGGCGGAAAGAGAAAGUGGAAAAAAAAACAUGGCGACCAGAUGAUGCUAGCCAGAGACUACAAUGGUUACGAUAAUGGGACGAUCUCUCAAAAAGUACUUUUCACCGUGCUGCCAUCUACGGUGCUCUCGCGGAAAGUUUACUAAGCAAGUUUCGACGCGCGUUAGCAGACGCUUCUUUUUCGUCGUCUCGAUUCCUAAUCUCCUUUCAGGCCACCAGAGCGCAGACUAUGACGAAUUGGACUAAUAACGACUCUAAGGAAUUUAUCGGAGAAUUAAAUUUUAUGGAACGUCGCAGCGUCAGAGGAAUUUCAAGAGGUUUCAAAGAUUUCAAUUACAUUCGUUGAAGAGAACAGAUACGAUCACGAGUAACCCCAAUUGCAUAUAAAGGAACAAAAUGGAGGAUCCUGUUCAAGGACUACUGAUAAAAAGUAGCACUUAAGUCGUGCGGGUAGGCACUUCGGAUGGGCUCUAGCGCUCGUUGCCAGGACCUGCAAUUAAAAGGGGUUUCGAAAGAGAAAGAGGGUGAAAAAUCUUGACAGCGAUGGUCGAAAGUGAGAUAACACAGAAGAUACCAACGCGAAGGAGGGAUUGAAAAUACUUUUUCAUACCAUGCGGAUCCAUAUCCUGGCGGCUCAAGAACCUCGGUCAGUUAAUGGCAAACAUGUAAACAAGUCCACAGAAUCUGUACAAACAAUGUUUUUCUCGUGAAAACAACGUCAAAGCGGAUGGUAGUCAAAUAAUAUGACAAGUUAAUGCCGACCCGGAUAACAAAAGUAAGUUUAUCAAUUUCGCUAUUUGACUUUUACGUUCAUCCAAUUUCCCUUUGUACCCAUGCGCCACUCAUUUACCAAAUUUAGCAAGGAGAGGAGAAAUACCCAUAUCGGUCUCUAUUCCUCCAGCGCGAUAACGUGUCCGUGAGGGUUUCGCAAUUUUCUCAAUUUCUUAAUUGAUAUGCCCUUUUCUCUUAUCAAACAGUCCUAUCAGAUAUGCUGGGACAGAUGCGACCGUAAUUCAACACGUACCAGGAGAACGAGUUCCAUGACCGCCCCCCCUUGAUCGUAUCGCCCCUCUCCUUGACACUGACCAGCAAUAGGAAAAUGUUAAGAAAAAAUUGGCACUAUGAAAAAAAAAAUUCCUUCCGUCAGUACCUACUACCAAUCCCUGACGAAUAAACAUGAGAGCCCUUAUCGCUCGUUAACGAAAUGUCCUAGGAAAAUGGAAAUGGUGCCCAUGGGGACGAGGAUGUUUAAGAGAAGGACUUUACCAGGUUUUACGAGUCAAAAAAUACCCCCGAGCAUUUCCCGUUCUCACUCUGUCUCUCUCUCUCUCUCUCUUUAUUCUUUUUUAAGGUUCAGAGAACAGACAGUAAUAGCUAUCUCGUGAAGUGGUACAAUUACGCAAAUUACCAACGGAGACGUAUGCAAGAUAUCUGACCGUUGAAAUCUAAACUACGGUCACGCGAAGCAUGAAUUUUCUACCUGGAAUGUAUAAGUAUUAUUUGCAUCGGAAAUUUUUCCUCGAUUAGUACAGUAAUGAAGAAAAGUUAUAUCUGCCCCCAUUAA